rnacentral:lncRNA from 1 species
AUAGCAUUGGAUCCUAAGCAUCGUGAAUCCAGAUCUGAGCUCAUCCUGUCUUUGUUCUUCUUCUUAGGACUCUGCACUCCCUGGAAAGAUAAAGAUGAACACAUUCAAGGUGAGUAGAACUUACCUUUCUCACUACUAAAAGUGCCUCUUUAAAAAGUGC